ensembl:misc_RNA Y_RNA Y RNA
GGCUGGGCUGAUUACAGUGGUAUUUACAACUAAUUGAUUACAACCAGUUACAGAUUUUCUUGUUCCUUCUCCAUUCCCACUGUUUCACUUGACUAGCCUUUA